rnacentral:rRNA from 1 species
UUACAAUGGAGAGUUUGAUCCUGGCUCAGGAUGAACGCUAGCGGCAGGCUUAAUACAUGCAAGGCGAAGGGGCAGCAAUGUCACUGUCGUACGGGUGCGUAACGCGUAUGCAACCUACCUAUCACUGGGGGAUAGCCCGGGGAAACCCGGAUU